ensembl:snRNA U2 U2 spliceosomal RNA
AUUGCUUCUUGUCCUUUUGGCUAAGAUCAAGUGUAGUAUCUGUUCUUACCAGUCGUGGGGUAUUUGCUCCAGCCAUGGAGUGUUCCGUUUAACGCACCAGGGGGACGGAGAAAGCACUUGGUUGAGGCCAGAGGCCAAGUUGCCACUUGAAGCCCCGAGUUUUUUGCACCCCUGGACCCACAGAUCUUGCACCCCCAUCUGUGAUACGGCACUAGU